rnacentral:rRNA from 1 species
GACAGAGGAUGCAAGCGUUAUCCGGAAUGAUUGGGCGUAAAGCGUCUGUAGGUGGCUUUUUAAGUCCGCCGUCAAAUCCCAGGGCUCAACCCUGGAGAGGCGGCGGAGACCACCGGGCUUGAGUCCGGUAGGGGCAGAGGGAAUUCCCGGUGGAGCGGUGAAAUGCGUAGAGGAUCGGAAAGAACACCAACGGCGAAGGCACUCUGCUGGCCGACACUGACACUGGAGAGACGAAAGCUAGGGGAGCAAAUGGG